rnacentral:rRNA from 1 species
UACGGGGGGGGGCAAGCGUUGUUCGGAAUUACUGGGCGUAAAGGGCUCGUAGGCGGCCAACUAAGUCGGAUGUGAAAUCCCCAGGCUUAACCUGGGAACUGCAUCCGAUACUGGAUGGCUUGAAUUCGGGAGAGGGAUGCAGAAUUCCAGGUGUAGCGGUGAAAUGCGUAGAUAUCAGGAGGAACACCGGUGGCGAAGGCGGGUCUCUGGGCCGAUACUGACGCUGAGGCGCGAAAGCGUGGGGAGCAAACAGG